UGGAAAUUCAAAUAUCGCGUAUACGUAGCGUAUGCCAGCCACAAUGGGAGAAAACCGCUUGGAACGGGAUGGCAAGUAGCUAAAUGGAGAGCUAUUUUGUGAAAUGACGUCAAGUGAAGUGACAAAUAGCAGACGGAAAAACAAUUAAAAACUUAUUUCAAAUGUCAUCAAAAAGUAAUUAACUUUUAUUUAACAGAUUAAAUCACAAAAGAACUGAAUUGUGAAUAAAGGACCAACUUUGUGAUACCCUCUUCUUACUGCUACUCUUUAUGCUACAUUAAUCAUAUUAAAUAAAUUUGCCAAAAUAUCGUUAGGCUA